AUGGCGACGGUGGAGGAGAAGCGGACGUCACCGGAGUCCGGGGCCGCGGAGGAGCCUGCGGAGCUGCCGGCUGCCGUACGAGCGAGCGUGGAGCGGAAGCGGCAGCGGGCGCUGAUGCUACGCCAGGCCCGGCUGGCGGCGCGGCCGUACCCGGCGGCGGCGGCGGCCACCGGAGAUGUGGCCAGUGUAAAAGCAGCUCCCAAAAUGAUUGACACCAAAGGUGGCUUCAUUUUAGAAGAGGAAGAAGAGAAACACGAGAUUGGAAAUGUUGUUCAUGAACCAGGGCCUGUCAUGGAGUUUGACUACACUAUCUGUGAAGAAUGUGGGAAAGAGUUCAUGGACUCGUAUCUUAUGAACCACUUUGAUUUGCCAACUUGUGAUAGCUGCAGAGAUGCUGAUGAUAAACACAAGCUUAUAACCAAAACAGAAGCCAAGCAAGAAUACCUUCUGAAGGACUGUGACUUAGAGAAAAGAGAGCCAGCGCUCAGGUUCAUUGUGAAGAAGAACCCUCGGCAUUCACAGUGGGGCGAUAUGAAGCUCUACUUAAAGCUACAGGUUGUAAAGCGGGCUCUUGAAGUUUGGGGUAGCCAGGAAGCUCUGGAAGAUGCAAAGGAAGUGAGGCAGGAAAACCGAGAAAAAAUGAAGCAGAAGAAGUUUGAUAAAAAAGUAAAAGCACUUGGUGGAUAUGUUCCUGUCCUGACUAGGCCACAGAGGGCUGAGUGGAGUAGACUGUAGAGUAGAAACGAGGAGCUGACUGUACAGUUUGCUCAGAACAGAGAGGAGUCAAAGCAAGUCUAAAGGCUUUUUAGUUGGAAAGAAUUGGAACAUGGUUCCUCUUGAUGCACAGCGAAGCUGACUAAAGCUUUCUUCUUUAUGGGAAGAAUUGCGGCGAGCAAUAAGAAGCAGUGUAUGGAAAAGAGAAACAACCGCUCACCAACAUGAAUACGGACCGGAGGAAAACUUAGAAGACGACAUGUACCGCAAGACUUGUA